rnacentral:rRNA from 1 species
AGUGAACGCUGGCGGUAGGCCUAACACAUGCAAGUCGAACGGCAGCACAGUAAGAGCUUGCUCUUACGGGUGGCGAGUGGCGGACGGGUGAGGAAUACAUCGGAAUCUACUUUUUCGUGGGGGAUAACGUAGGGAAACUUACGCUAAUACCGCAUACGACCUACGGGUGAAAGCAGGGGAUCUUCGGACCUUGCGCGAUUGAAUGAGCCGAUGUCGGAUUAGCUAGUUGGCGGGGUAAAGGCCCACCAAGGCGACGAUCCGUAGCUGGUCUGAGAGGAUGAUCAGCCACACUGGAACUGAGACACGGUCCAGCCUCCUACGGGAGGCAGCAGUGGCGAAUAUUGGAGAAUGGGCGCAAGCCUGAUCCAGCCAUACCGCGUGGGUGAAGAAGGCCUUCGGGUUGUAAAGCCCUUUUGUUGGGAAAGAAAAGCAGCAGGUUAAUACCCCGCUGUUCUGACGGUACCCAAAGAAUAAGCACCGGCUAACUUCG